CUCAGUUCAGAUCGAAGCUUGCAACUCAGCUUCGUGAAGGAGGAAUCGCUAGUAAUUGCAGGUCAGCAUACUGCAGUGAAUUCGUUCCCGGGCCUUGUACACACCGCCCGUCACACCAUGGAAGCUGGCAACGCCCGAAGUCAUUACUCUAACCAUUCGUGGGGGAGGAUGCCUAAGGCAGUGCUGGUGACUGGGGUGAAGUCGUAACAAGGUAGCCGUACCGGAAGGUGUGGCUGGAUCACCUCCUUUUAAGGGAG
rnacentral:rRNA from 1 species